UGGGGAAUAUUGCACAAUGGGGGAAACCCUGAUGCAGCGACGCCGCGUGAACGAAGAAGGUAUUCGUAUCGUAAAGUUCUUUCCUAUGGGAAGAUAAUGACAGUACCAUAGAAGAAAGCUCCGGCUAAAUACGUGCCAGCAGCCGCGGUAAUACGUAUGGAGCGAGCGUUGUCCGAAAUUAUUGGGCGUAAAGGGUACGCAGGCGGUUUAAUAAGUCGAAUGUUAAAGAUCGGGGCUCAACCCCGUAAAGCAUUGGAAACUGAUAAACUUGAGUAGUGGAGAGGAAAGUGGAAUUCCUAGUGUAGUGGUGAAAUACGUAGAUAUUAGGAGGAAUACAAGUAGCGAAGGCGACUUUCUGGACACAAACUGACGCUGAGGUACGAAAGCGUGGGGAGCAAACAGG
rnacentral:rRNA from 1 species